rnacentral:lncRNA from 1 species
GAGGAAGUUAAAAGUAGUUAAAAGACCCUGAGAGUUGUAGUUUUUUCCACCUUUAGAAGAGAUGAAGUUAUUGUACUUUAAGAACAGGAGGAUGGGUUUUAGAAUUUUUUUGUUUUUGUUUUCUCAGGUCCUUUUUUUGUUAGAAAAAUCUACUUCACAGGAUGGCAUCUUUAUCAGUUCCUAAUCACUAUAGAAGGGAUGCAAGCAAAGAAAUGAUAAGAACAAAAGUUGCUCACCGGAAAUCAAUUACAUGGAAGGAAAAUAGAAUAAAUAUGAACAGAACAGACACUUUGGCUUACUAGAUGUCAAUACCACAACUUUAGAAGAGAGAAAUCUUCCUCAAUUGGAUGAGACCAUUGACAACAUUCUGGAAAAGGACAAUGUCAAGUCAAAGUCAACUCCCAAUAGUCUAUGUGAGCUGCUUAGUAAUCAGUGAAAGGAGAUGCUUCAGCAGUAUAAAGAGCAAAAGCAGCUUCAAAAAAUGAAAGAACAGUGAGACAGAAUGAGAGGAGGAGUAUUUAAAGUUGGGUUUUACAAACCUGAUUCACCACAGUUUCUUAGAGGUCUUCCAGGACAGAAGACAGUGAAGCCUGAACCAAAGAAGGCUAUCUGAAUGGAUCACAAAGUCAAAGAUCAAGGACAAACUAGAGCAAGCAAAGGUCAAUAAUGGGCACAAUAUGGAAGCAGUCCAAGCUGGCUAGAAGACAACUUCUGAACACCAGCCUAGCAAAGAAAGGAAAGCUCUAGAACCUGAUAUGAGAGUAACAAGAUCAGUUACCAUAGCAGCAAAACAGAUCCCUAAACCAGCUUCAUCUGUUGCAAUGAGAAGGCCUAUGCCAAAACUUAUCAGUGAAAACCAACUGGAAAGAAAAACAUCAACUGAAGAAAGACCUCCUGCAAAGACUGAAGUUAAAGCUGACAAAGGAAAGCCAUCAGUGCAUCUAAAGAAGCUGUACAAAGCAAAUCAUAUGAUCCAGCUAAAUACAAAACACCUGGGAAUAAGAAAUCUUAUUGAAGGAAACUGGACCAAGCUAUGUUCUCCCUCAUAUCACUAAUGUAAAAAAAGCCACAACAAACUCUGACUGAAUACUGUCAAAGCCUUUCAUUAAUAUUUUGCAAGCCUCUGUUUUCAGAGGAUUACAGGUUGGCUAAGAAAACCUUUGUGUUAAGUUGACACUGAUCAGCCUGGAAAUGUUACUUAAGUACAUUGACAGAAAGAUUUCAUUGAUCAUUGAAAUUGGAUCUUUAUUUUUAUUAUUGUUCUUUUUUUAUGUUAGAGUGAUUGUAUGUGGUAAGAUAUUUUCACAAAUAGUAUGAAAGGGUGAAACUACUUCUAUUCAUGCUUUGAAUUUUUGUGCAUAUGUAUGUUAUAUUAAAUUCAAUAUUGAAUACAAAAUUUUUAUUUGGAAUAAAUAUAGUAGUAAUGAUAGCUUAUAUAGCA